rnacentral:miRNA from 1 species
UACCUCAAAUAACCACAACAGUCUGUUUCAUCCGUAUAGGAAUCAUCAGGUCGCUGAUGAUUCCUAUACGGAUGAAACGGACUGUUGUGGUUAUU